AAACUUUCUACAAAUGUUCUCUGUUUCAUGUACUUUUAUUUGAUAUCUUGGGUAUAAGCGUAAAAAUAGGGGCUCAUACAGUUUAAGAGGUUGUAAAAUGCAUGACUUGCCUCUAUUUUCAUGUAAACAUUCGAAAUUCUUCGACAGCAAAGUAGCAACUGUUUCAGAUCGAAUGCACACGGACAGCCCACCAGAGACAAUGGCAGGGUACUGAAAUAGAACGUCACUAAAAAGUUCUGUAUGAUUAAUUUAGAACAUGUUCACUCUUUCAACAUAAAACAGUCAUUUAUUUUGUACAAACAUUUUGCAAUAUUUACACGAUUGUGCUUUUUUGUAAACACGCGUUGCGUGUAUUCCACACAAUUGCGUGACUCAUUUUACUCGCGCAUGCUCAGACAAAUUUCCCACCUGUUAUGGUG